rnacentral:misc_RNA from 1 species
GCACCGAUGUCUGGCCCGC